UCUACCUUUCACAGAGGGAUAGCCCAGAGAAAUUUGGAUUAAUACCUCAUGGUAUUAUAGAGUGGCAUCACUUUAUAAUUAAAGUCACAACGGUGAAAGAUGAGCAUGCGUCCCAUUAGCUAGAUGGUAAGGUAACGGCUUACCAUGGCUACGAUGGGUAGGGGUCCUGAGAGGGAGAUCCCCCACACUGGUACUGAGACACGGACCAGACUCCUACGGGAGGCAGCAGUGAGGAAUAUUGGUCAAUGGGCGCAAGCCUGAACCAGCCAUGCCGCGUGCAGGAUGACGGUCCUAUGGAUUGUAAACUGCUUUUGUACGAGAAGAAACAACAUUACGUGUAAUGUCUUGACGGUAUCGUAAGAAUAAGGAUCGGCUAACUCCGUGCCAGCAGCCGCGGUAAUACGGAGGAUCCGAGCGUUAUCCGGAAUCAUUGGGUUUAAAGGGUCCGUAGGCGGUUUAGUAAGUCAGUGGUGAAAGCCCAUCGCUCAACGGUGGAACGGCCAUUGAUACUGCUAGACUUGAAUUAUUGGGAAGUAACUAGAAUAUGUAGUGUAGCGGUGAAAUGCUUAGAGAUUACAUGGAAUACCAAUUGCGAAGGCAGGUUACUACCAAUGGAUUGACGCUGAUGGACGAAAGCGUGGGGAGCGAACAGGAUUAGAUACCCUGGUAGUCCACGCCGUAAACGAUGGAUACUAGCUGUUGGGCGCAAGUUCAGUGGCUAAGCGAAAGUGAUAAGUAUCCCACCUGGGGAGUACGGGCGCAAGCCUGAAACUCAAAGGAAUUGACGGGGGCCCGCACAAGCGGUGGAGCAUGUGGUUUAAUUCGAUGAUACGCGAGGAACCUUACCAAGGCUUAAAUGUAGAUUGACCGAUUUGGAAACAGAUCUUUCGCAAGACAAUUUACAAGGUGCUGCAUGGUUGUCGUCAGCUCGUGCCGUGAGGUGUCAGGUUAAGUCCUAUAACGAGCGCAACCCCUGUUGUUAGUUGCCAGCGAGUCAUGUCGGGAACUCUAACGAG
rnacentral:rRNA from 1 species